rnacentral:rRNA from 1 species
UACGGAGGGUGCAAGCGUUAUCCGGAUUCACUGGGUUUAAAGGGUGCGUAGGUGGGCGUAUAAGUCAGUGGUGAAAUCUUCGAGCUUAACUCGGAAACUGCCAUUGAUACUAUAUGUCUUGAAUGCCCUGGAGGUAAGCGGAAUAUGUCAUGUAGCGGUGAAAUGCUUAGAUAUGACAUAGAACACCAAUUGCGAAGGCAGCUUACUACGGGGUGAUUGACGCUGAGGCACGAAAGCGUGGGGAUCAAACAGG